rnacentral:lncRNA from 1 species
CCCUCCCCAUCUUUCUUGUACCUUCCUUCUCUCCUCCUUUCCUUCAUACACUUAUUCCUAAGCACUUCCUCUUCUUCGUUCUCUAUGCAUGCCCUCUUACUGCACAUUUCUCCCAUUUCUUCCAUUCCUUUUACCAUACACAUCCAUUCACAUUCCUCUCACUCAAAUGGGAUGAAAGGAAGAAGAGGAAGUAUCUUCGAGUCAAAUCCACACAUGCGGAUGGAGAGGGCCAUAAAUUAAAAGUUGCAAAGGAGAAAAUCAUAUCUCGUUCAGAUGCGGCAGAGGGAAAAAGGAAAGAAGAAGGGAAAAAGGAAAGAAGAGGGAAAGCAUGGGGAUGGAGAGGGAAAGGGUGCCUUGGAUGUCGUGGCCUCUAGUGGUGAAAUUCAUUGGAAAUCCAUUUACCUUAUUCUUAAGGUAGCUUCUAUCCUUUGAUUGAAAUUUGAUGAUGGGCAUCACAACUCCAUCCAUUGGUUCCUCCCCAUUCGUGUUGGCAUCGACGGUGAUUUUUCUCCAAAUAAUUAAAGCAAUGACCAUGGAUUCGAUGGUUUUCUCGAUGUUGAAUUUGUCGAGGUAUGGCUUGAAGAGAAUGGAGAAGAUGAGCUCACUGGCACUGAGGCUAAACUUAUAGUGAUCAUCAUCAUCAUGGAACACUAAAUGGGG